rfam:Triticum aestivum genome assembly, contig: Triticum_aestivum_CS42_TGACv1_scaffold_516361_6BS
CAUCUACUCCCUCCGUCCGAAAAUACUUCUCAUCAAAAUGGAUAAAAGAGGAUGUAUCUAGAUAUAUUUUAAUUUAAGAUACAUCACCUUUUAUUCAUUUUGAUGACAUUUCGGACGGAGGGAGUACGUC